rnacentral:rRNA from 1 species
AUUGAACGCUGGCGGCAUGCCUUACACAUGCAAGUCGAACGGUAACGGGCCUUCGGGUGCCGACGAGUGGCGAACGGGUGAGUAAUGUAUCGGAACGUACCUUUCAGUGGGGGAUAACGUAGCGAAAGUUACGCUAAUACCGCAUAUUCUGUGAGCAGGAAAGCAGGGGAUCGCAAGACCUUGCGCUGAUUGAGCGGCCGAUAUCAGAUUAGCUAGUUGGUGAGGUAAAAGGCUCACCAAGGCGACGAUCUGUAGCGGGUCUGAGAGGAUGAUCCGCCACACUGGAACUGAGACACGGUCCAGACUCCUACGGGAGGCAGCAGUGGGGAAUUUUGGACAAUGGGGGGCAACCCUGAUCCAGCCAUGCCGCGUGAGUGAAGAAGGCCUUCGGGUU